rnacentral:rRNA from 1 species
GACGAACGCUGGCGGCGUGCUUAACACAUGCAGGUCGAACGAUGACGACCGAGCUUGCUCGGUCUGAUUAGUGGCGAACGGGUGAGUAACACGUGAGCAACCUGCCCUUCACUCUGGGAUAACCUCGGGAAAUCGGGGCUAAUACCGGAUAUGAGCUCCUGUCGCAUGGCGGGUGUUGGAAAGUGUUUCGGUGGAGGAUGGGCUCGCGGCCUAUCAGUUUGUUGGUGAGGUAGUGGCUCACCAAGGCGAUGACGGGUAGCCGGCCUGAGAGGGCGACCGGCCACACUGGGACUGAGACACGGCCCAGACUCCUACGGGAGGCAGCAGUGGGGAAUAUUGCACAAUGGGCGAAAGCCUGAUGCCGCGACGCCGCGUGAGGGAUGACGGCCUUCGGGUUGUAAACCUCUUUCAGCAGGGAAGAAGCGAAAGUGACGGUACCUGCAGAAGAAGCGCCGGCUAACUACGUG